UUCCAGACUCCUACGGGAGGCAGCAGUGGGGGAUAUUGCACAAUGGGGGGAACCCUGAUGCAGCGACGCCGCGUGGGUGAAGGAGCGUUUCGGCGCGUAAAGCCCUAUCGGCAGGGAAGAAGGAGGACGGUACCUGGCUAAGAAGCCCCGGCUAACUACGUGCCAGCAGCCGCGGUAAUACGUAGGGAGCGAGCGUUAUCCGGAUUUAUUGUGUGUAAAGGGUGCGUAGACGGGAAGUUAAGUUAGUUGUGAAAUCCCAAGGCUCAACUUUGGAACUGCAACUAAAACUAAUUUUCUUGAGUACUGGAGAGGAAAGUGGAAUUCCUAGUGUAGCGGUGAAAUGCGUAGAUAUUAGGAGGAACACCAGUGGCGAAGGCGACUUUCUGGACAGAAACUGACGUUGAGGCACGAAAGUGUGGGGAGCAAACAGGAUUAGAUACCCCGGUA
rnacentral:rRNA from 1 species